UCCGCCAACCGGUCACCGCGAAUAGUUUGUUUUCCUGUGCACAGUAUCAUAUUAUUAUUGCGAUCCGAAAUCGAAUUAUUAUCGUGACGAUAUUAAUAAUAUUGUGGUUGACGUAUAAUAACAUGUCGGGACAUCCGAAUUCACAAUCAAAAACGUCCACCGCCUGCACGGUCUAUAUACGCUGCUGCACCCGUAUUGUGUUAUUAUAAUAAUAAUUAUUACUAUUGUAUAACGCAGUCAUCUAUAUGCACCAUCGUAUAGUGUAUAGUCAUAUUAGAUCUUCAAUCGUGUGUGCAGGUGGGACAAUUGCAGCACAUCCAUUAUGGAAAAUCGCACUCGGCUCGUCAUCCGUCGUCGUCGUCGUCGUCGUCGUCGUUGUUAUAACAUAUUAAAUUAUUACACUAUGUGGUGUUUUCAUUCGAAACGGCUGUAUUUGCAGUACACACACACACAUAAUAAUAUACAUAUACUCCAUAUAUAAAUGCGUCGACUGACUCAUUGUUAUUACCGGUGUGUUCAUUGGUGACGAGAUCGUUCGUUCUUCGUGCUCAGUCUUCGAGACUCCAGUGGCGCGCGCGCAUUUAAAUGUACCUACUUUGAGUUUUCGGUAUACCGAUGUUAUUGUUAUAACAUAUUUUAUACCGCGUUAUACCGCCGUUUACCUGUACCGUGUUUAUCAUUCGCCCGAGAAUCGAGACCUUCGCAUUCGAUGUUGUCGGUAUUCGGAUGUAAUCGCUCGCGCGUUAAAUCAUCGCAGAGUCGAUGGAAACGUUACAAAUUUAAUUGCACCGCCAGUCAGCCAGCGUGAUAAAUAAUGUUUAAUAAUUUACCUCCCGCAAUGGGGUCUACGCAAGAUGAUGUUCGUAUAUACCAGGAAGUCGACCGAGUUUGGCACCGUUUUAUAAUCACUCGAGGCUCCCGAGUCAAAUUUAUUAUUCCAAUAGACGUAACGCGUCAACCUCCACCUCGCUACAUCGAGGACUGCCGCAUUAUUUUAAUAAUAUUUUCCUAUUUUAUAUUUACUACGUAAUUAUAAUAUGUAAUUAUUCGUGUGAAUAUGUAUUUUAUAGAUAUUGAAAAAAAAACAAAUAUAAAUAUUUAUAGGAUAUUUCCCUAAACGUA